rnacentral:lncRNA from 1 species
AGCAAAAUCACGCGUGCUAGGCAAGCCCUCUUCCACUGAGCCACAACUUUGACCCCAAUCUCCAUUAAUAUUUUGAUAUGGUAAAUGACAUUAUGUAUUUUCUAAUUUAAACAUUACCUAUAAGUCCUAGGAUAAAACUAACUUAUUUCUUGUGUGUUGUUUGAUUUAUAUACCACUGAAUCUAGUUGACUAUUUUUUAUUAAGAUGUUUCUGUUUAUGAAUGGAAUUGGUCUUUAGUUUCCCUAUAGUCACUGUCUUUUUAUAAUUGUGGUAAAUUGAAUAAAGUGGAAAUAUUCCCUCUUUCUUUCUUUUGAAGUGUUAUUAUACUGUUGAAGAUCUGUUCCUAACACAUACAGUAGAAAUCUUCUGUAUAACUAAUUGAAAUUAUUAUGUACUUGCAGUAAUAUUUUGCAUUAUGGAUUCUGCUUUCUUUCUAAUAGAACUAUAGAGCUUAUUUCUUCUCAAAUCAAUUUUUGUAAUCUGUAAGGAAUAUGAACAGUUUUGAGUAUUCAAAUUAAGAGUUUAAAGGUAUAUGUCCAAUUUUUAUCAUCUUUUAGAUUUCCAAUAGACAUAUAAUUGUAUUGUUUUUAUUUGUUGAUUUUCUUUUUUUGUCUUCCUUCCCUCCUCAUUUCUCAAUAGUCUUCUUGGAGAGUUAUGAAAUUUAUUGGCAUGUGGGAAGAUCUGACAUUUUGAGUUUUAUGAUUUGUUACUAAGUUUUUUCUUUCUUUGUGUUUUCAUUAUUUUGAUUUCCUUCUGUUUACAUUCUUUGUGUUCUUUCUUGUUCCAGCUUUUUAUGUUGACUAACUGCAUAGUUAAUUAAUUUUUGGCCUUUCUAAAUAUUUAAUAGAACAGUUUUUCUCCUAAAUACUGUUUUAAAUGUAUCACACAGUUGUUUAUAUAUAGCAUUUACAUUUUUGUUCAUUUUUAAGUACUUUAUUAUGAUUUGGUCUUCAUUCCAUGUUUUGUUUAAAAAUAUUUUCAAAUGUACAUAUGCAUAGGCUUUGAAUUUUCUUAUUUUUGUGUGUGGUUAUUGUAUAUUUGUAGUUGGAAUAAAUCAUGGUCAGAAUACAUUGUCUAUAUGAAACCAAUCCUUGAAAUUUCUUUGGAAUUACUGUGGUAGAGAUUGCUAAUUUUUUACUNGACUGUAGAUGUUCAAGCUAUAAUUUUAUUUGAAUGAAUGAGAAUUGGGAAUUGAUAUUCACAGUCAGAGUUCUUGGGUCAGUAUGAGCCAGCUCUAGUACAUGAAGUCUUACAACACCACCAGAGCAAAUUGUUCUACUAUAUACUCAAUCAUGUUAUUGGACCUAGACAGAGGUCAGAUAAAUGAUCUCUGCUUCUCAUUGCUGCUAUCAUUUCCUCUCCCUUCUUCUAUCAUGAACAUAUAUUUUCUCUGUUUUAUCACUAUUAAGGUAUAACAUGACUUUUACUACCUAUAUGUUAAUGACUCCUUCAUUUCUAUCAUUUACUGAGAUCUCUUCUCCGAAUUACAUUUUUAUAUAAUGGGUUGCCUACUUGGUGCGUGUAACUAGAUAUCAAUUUCCUACUAUAAUUAUUUCUCCUGUGAUUUUUUUUUCAGUCUUAAAUAAUAGAAAUUCUAUCCUUUCAUUUUGUUUUUUGGCCAGAAAAUCUCUAGAGUCAUCCUUGAGUCAUUUCUCUCUUUCUCUCAUACCUCCCAUUCAAUAUGAAAGAAAUGAUUUUGGUUAUAUCUUUGAAAAAAGUCUAUACUUUCAUCUUUUCUUACAUCUAGCAUUGUUGUUGUUUCUUUGUUCUGUCCUCAUAUCUAUCUUGGAUUAUUCCAAUCCUUCUAACUACUCUCUACUUCUGUCUUUGUUUUCCUUUCGUGUCUUUUAAACACAGCAGCCAGAAUGAUCUUAAAACAUGUUAUCCAUGACACUGCUGAAAAAUUUCCAGUGGCUUCCUAUCUUACUUAAAGUUACAGGUGAAGUUGUUAUAACUUCUGAGACUAUGUGGGUCUGGCCCCUUUUAACUCUCGGCCCUUAUCUCUUGCUUUUCUCCACUUUCUAUUCAUUUGCAGCCCGCUAGCUUCCCAUGUGUUUGUAGAACAGCCUAGAUAUGCCCUUGUUUUGAAGCUCUUUCUUUCUAAUAGAACUAUAGAGCUUAUUUCUUCUCAAAUCAAUUUUUGUAAUCUGUAAGGUAAUAUGAACAGAGCCUAGCACGAGUGAGGCGCUGGGCUUGAUCCCCAGCACCAUAUAAAAAUAAAAACAAAUAAAAUAAAGGUAUUGUAUUCAUCUACACUAAAAAAAUAAAAAAAAAUUUAAAAAAUGGAGAAAAUUAUCUAAGAAAAAAAUUAAUAAUCAUGAUAAAAGAAAAUCUUAAUAUUUAAUUAUGAUAAAAAUGUAUCAUUAUUUUAUGAUAAAAAGAACUAACACACUUAUGAUAAAACAAAAACUUAGCAAAUGUAGUGGGAAGGGUACGUUUUGAACCUUAAUAAAGAAUACCUACCUACCCAGAACAACAAAUAUUCCUUAUGUUGAAUCAUCCAAAGCAUCCCCUUAAAAUUUUUAAACAGGAUAUGAAUGCCUACUCUAACCACUUCGGCUUAACUGCUUUCAGGAGGUUCUAGACAAGAUACAAUGAGAAGAAACACAAAUAAAUUUUUCUAGGACUAGAAAAGGAAAAAUCACAGCUACCGUUUUUCACAAAUGAUAACAUUACUUAAGAGGAAAAUCCUUAAAAAAAACUAUACAUAAACUAUAGAAAUAUAGAGUUCAGCAAAAUCACGCGUGCUAGGCAAGCCCUCUUCCACUGAGCCACAACUUUGACCCCAAUCUCCAUUAAUAUUUUGAUAUGGUAAAUGACAUUAUGUAUUUUCUAAUUUAAACAUUACCUAUAAGUCCUAGGAUAAAACUAACUUAUUUCUUGUGUGUUGUUUGAUUUAUAUACCACUGAAUCUAGUUGACUAUUUUUUAUUAAGAUGUUUCUGUUUAUGAAUGGAAUUGGUCUUUAGUUUCCCUAUAGUCACUGUCUUUUUAUAAUUGUGGUAAAUUGAAUAAAGUGGAAAUAUUCCCUCUUUCUUUCUUUUGAAGUGUUAUUAUACUGUUGAAGAUCUGUUCCUAACACAUACAGUAGAAAUCUUCUGUAUAACUAAUUGAAAUUAUUAUGUACUUGCAGUAAUAUUUUGCAUUAUGGAUUCUGCUUUCUUUCUAAUAGAACUAUAGAGCUUAUUUCUUCUCAAAUCAAUUUUUGUAAUCUGUAAGGAAUAUGAACAGUUUUGAGUAUUCAAAUUAAGAGUUUAAAGGUAUAUGUCCAAUUUUUAUCAUCUUUUAGAUUUCCAAUAGACAUAUAAUUGUAUUGUUUUUAUUUGUUGAUUUUCUUUUUUUGUCUUCCUUCCCUCCUCAUUUCUCAAUAGUCUUCUUGGAGAGUUAUGAAAUUUAUUGGCAUGUGGGAAGAUCUGACAUUUUGAGUUUUAUGAUUUGUUACUAAGUUUUUUCUUUCUUUGUGUUUUCAUUAUUUUGAUUUCCUUCUGUUUACAUUCUUUGUGUUCUUUCUUGUUCCAGCUUUUUAUGUUGACUAACUGCAUAGUUAAUUAAUUUUUGGCCUUUCUAAAUAUUUAAUAGAACAGUUUUUCUCCUAAAUACUGUUUUAAAUGUAUCACACAGUUGUUUAUAUAUAGCAUUUACAUUUUUGUUCAUUUUUAAGUACUUUAUUAUGAUUUGGUCUUCAUUCCAUGUUUUGUUUAAAAAUAUUUUCAAAUGUACAUAUGCAUAGGCUUUGAAUUUUCUUAUUUUUGUGUGUGGUUAUUGUAUAUUUGUAGUUGGAAUAAAUCAUGGUCAGAAUACAUUGUCUAUAUGAAACCAAUCCUUGAAAUUUCUUUGGAAUUACUGUGGUAGAGAUUGCUAAUUUUUUACUAAGAUAUAUUUCCUUUAUUCCUAUAGUUUUCAUCAUAUAAUUGGGCAUAAUUAGAUGCUUAUAUUUCUCAUCUUUGUUUUUACGCAUAGAUAUGACUGUGAAGCUAAAUUAUGCCAAAAGAGCAUGCACUUAAUUGGUGUGUACCUGUGGAAUUGUUUUAGAAGAACUUACUCUUUACUUUCAAAGAAAGAUAGUACUUUACUUCUCUGAUCAUUGAUGCAGAGCUUGGCCAUGUCACAUAUUUAAGGCCAUUGAUAAUUUUAAAAACCAGACAUAAUGGAACCUUGAUAUAUGCUUGCAUAUUUAGGUUUGCUUUCUUUUGCUUUUGCCAUAGAAAACAGUGUGAGUCAGUUUGCCUGUAUCCUGAUGAAAGAUAGGAGCAUCAAUGACUGAGUCCAGUCCCUAUUAGCUGACCUCUACAAAUGCUUAAGCUAGAUGAAUGCUUUUUGUUUUAUACCAAUUAGAAUUAAUUGAAUAAUAAAAAGUUCAAACACUCUAACCCAGAUCAAAACUUUACUUAUUUACAUAUUUUUUGUCUGAUAAUUGGUUCUGUCUUUCAACAUAACAAAAUUAUAAAGGUAAUUUAUGAUUUAUGUGAAAUUUAUUUUUCUGUUUCAAUAGCUCAUGUUUGUCUUUUUUAUCCAGCAACUAUAUUAACAUAAGUAAUUUUGAAAUAUGAUUCCUGUUUAGGUAGCAUGUCUUUUAUUAUUUCUCAAAACUCCUACUCAUUAUUGCAGAACAUAUUGCC